rnacentral:rRNA from 1 species
AACGAACGCUGGCGGCAUGCCUAACACAUGCAAGUCGAACGGGUGUAGCAAUACAUCAGUGGCGCACGGGAUAGUAACGCGUGGGAAUCUGCCUCGUAGUUCGGAAUAACACCGGGAAACUGGUGCUAAUACCGAAUACGCCCUUCGGGGGAAAGUUUUUCGCUAUGAGAGGAGCCCGCGUUGGAUUAGCUAGUUGGUGAGGUAACGGCUCACCAAGGCGACGAUCCAUAGCUGGUCUGAGAGGACGAUCAGCAUCACUGGGACUGAGACACGGCCCAGACUCCUACGGGAGGCAGCAGUGGGGAAUAUUGGACAAUGGGGGAAACCCUGAUCCAGCAAUGCCGCGUGAGUGAUGAAGGUCUUCGGAUUGUAAAGCUCUUUUGGCAGGGACGAUGAUGACGGUACCUGCAGAAUAAGCUCCGGCUAACUUCGUGCCAGCAGCCGCCGUAAGAC